UACGUAGGUGGCAAGCGUUGUCCGGAUUUAUUGGGUUUAAAGGGUGCGUAGGCGGCCCUGUAAGUCAGUGCUGAAAUAUCCCGGCUUAACCGGGAGGGUGGCAUUGAUACUGCGGGGCUAGAGUACAGAUGAGGUAGGCGGAAUUGACGGUGUAGCGGUGAAAUGCUUAGAUAUCGUCAAGAACACCGAUAGCGAAGGCAGCUUACCAAGCUGUAACUGACACUGAGGCACGAAAGUGUGGGGAUCAAACAGG
rnacentral:rRNA from 1 species